AUUGAACGCUGGCGGCAUGCCUUACACAUGCAAGUCGAACGGUAACGCGGGGCAACCUGGUGACGAGUGGCGAACGGGUGAGUAAUGUAUCGGAACGUGCCCAGUUGUGGGGGAUAACUGCUCGAAAGAGCAGCUAAUACCGCAUACGACCUGAGGGUGAAAGCGGGGGAUCGCAAGACCUCGCGCAAUUGGAGCGGCCGAUAUCAGAUUAGGUAGUUGGUGGGGUAAAGGCUCACCAAGCCGACGAUCUGUAGCUGGUCUGAGAGGACGACCAGCCACACUGGGACUGAGACACGGCCCAGGCUCCGACGGGAGGAAGCAGUGGGGAAUUUUGGAAAAUGGACGCAAGUCUGAUCCAGCCAUGCCGCGUGCGGGAAGAAGGCCUUCGGGUUGUAAACCGCUUUUGUCAGGGAAGAAACGCUCCGGGUUAAUACCUCGGGGUAAUGACGGUAACUGAAGAAUAAGCACCGGCUAACUACGUGCCAGCCGCCGCGGUAA
rnacentral:rRNA from 1 species